rnacentral:rRNA from 1 species
UUAAGCAAUAAGAGCAUAGGGUGAAUGCCUAGGCACUGAGAGCCGAAGAAAGACGUGAUAAGCUGCGAAAAGCUGCGGGGAUUGGCAAAUACGAUUUGAUCCGCAGAUAUCUGAAUGGGGAAACCCACUAGAGAAAAGCUCUAGUACUGUACAGCCAAUACAUAACUGUACAGAGGGAACCCGCUGAACUGAAACAUCUAAGUAGGCGGAGGAAGAGAAAACAACCGUGAUUCCGAAAGUAGUGGCGAGCGAAAUCGGAAGAGCCCAAACCGAGGUGCGUGCACCUCGGGGUUCGGACUGCAUAAAGAUCUGUAAGUGAGUGGAAGCCGAUGGAAAUAGGCGCCAUAGAGGGUGAAAGCCCCUUACACGAAGCGUAAAGGAUCAAGCAGUAUCCAGAGUACUGUCAGACACGUGGAACCUGGCAGGAAGACGGGGGGACCACCCCCCAAGGCUAAAUACUACUCAGUGACCGAUAGCGAUUAGUACUGUGAAGGAAAGGUGAAAAGGACCCCGGGAGGGGAGUGAAAGAGAACCUGAAACCCUGUGUUUACAAACUGUGGAACAGCGCAAGCUGAACCGCGUACUUUUUGUAGAACGGUCCGGCGAGUUAUAGUUACUGGCAAGGUUAAGGACUUAAGGUCCGGAGCCGAAGCGAGAGCGAGUCUGAAUAGGGCGCAAAGUCAGUAGAUAUAGACCCGAAACCGGGUGACCUAUCCAUGUCCAGGAUGAAGCUAAAGUAAAAUUUGGUGGAGGUCCGAACGCACAUCCGUUGAAAAGGGUGGCGAUGAGGUGUGGAUAGCGGAGAAAUUCCAAUCGAACCCGGAGAUAGCUGGUUCUCCUCGAAAUAGCUUUAGGGCUAGCCUCGCUGAUAAGUCUUUCGCAGGUAGAGCACUGAAUUCUUGAGGGGGCGUCAAAGUCUACCAAGAGAUAUCAAACUCCGAAUGGCGGUAAGAUAUAAGCGGGAGUCAGACUGCGGGAUAUAAAUUCCGUAGUCAAAAGGGAAACAGCCCAGAUCUACAGCUAAGGUCCCAAAGUACAUGUUAAGUGGUAAAGGAUGUGGGAUUUCAUAGACAACUAGGAUGUUGGCUUAGAAGCAGCCACACAUUCAAAGAGUGCGUAAUAGCUCACUAGUCGAGAGGUCCUGCGCCGAAAAUUUCCGGGGCUAAAACACGAUACCGAAGCUUAGGAAUGUAGCAAUACAUUGGUAGAGGAGCAAUCUCAGAGUGCCGAAGCGUUACCGUAAGGAAGCGUGGAGUUCUGAGAAGAGAGAAUGCCGGAAUGAGUAGCGAGAAUGAUGUGAGAAUCAUCAUGGCCGAAUAUCCAAGGAUUCCAGGGUAAAGCUGAUCUGCCCUGGGUAAGUCGGGACCUAAGGCGAGGGAGAAAUCCGUAGUCGAUGGACAGCAGGUUCAUAUUCCUGCACCUGACAUGAUCAGAACUGUGGGGACACAGGAACAAAACCGGACCCGGGAGAGCAAAGACCGGGCGAAGCGAAGUUAGGAGUGCGGUAGGUAAAUCCGCCGCACAAUCCGAAAGCGUGAUAGGGAGCGAAAAAUAAGUAGCGAAGCCGGUGGAGGGACUGUCGAGAAAAGCCGCUAUUGUAUCAUGUCAGCCCGUACCGCAAACCGACACAGGUGGAUGAGGAGAGAAUCCUAAGGCCGGCGGGAGAAGCAUUGUUAAGGAACUCGGCAAAAUGACCCCGUAACUUCGGGAGAAGGGGUGCCCAGGCAACUGGGCCGCAGAGAAAAGGCUCAAGCAACUGUUUAGCAAAAACACAGGUCUAUGCGAAACCGUAAGGUAAAGUAUAUGGGCUGACGCCUGCCCGGUGCUGGAAGGUUAAGAGGAGAGGUUAGCGCAAGCGAAGCUUUGAAUUGAAGCCCCAGUAAACGGCGGCCGUAACUAUAACGGUCCUAAGGUAGCGAAAUUCCUUGUCGGGUAAGUUCCGACCCGCACGAAAGGCGUAACGAUUUGGGCACUGUCUCAACGA